rnacentral:rRNA from 1 species
AUUGAACGCUGGCGGCAUGCCUUACACAUGCAAGUCGAACGGCAGCGGGCCCUUCGGGGUGCCGGCGAGUGGCGAACGGGUGAGUAAUGCAUCGGAACGUACCCGGGAGAGGGGGAUAACCGGCCGAAAGGCUGGCUAAUACCGCAUGAACUCGGAAGAGCAAAGCGGGGGACCUUCGGGCCUCGCGCUCUCGGAGCGGCCGAUGUCCGAUUAGGCUAGUUGGUGGGGUAAAGGCCCACCAAGGCGACGAUCGGUAGCGGGUCUGAGAGGACGAUCCGCCACACUGGGACUGAGACACGGCCCAGACUCCUACGGGAGGCAGCAGUGGGGAAUCUUGGACAAUGGGCGCAAGCCUGAUCCAGCAAUGCCGCGUGGGGGAAGAAGGCCUUCGGGUUGUAAAGCCCUUUCGGCGGGGAAGAAAGCGGUCAGGCGAAUAGUCUGGCCGGAUGACGGUACCCGCAGAAGAAGCACCGGCUAACUACGUGC